rnacentral:rRNA from 1 species
AUGGCCGCGUUCUGGCAGUCGUGCCGUUUAGCCAGCCGGCCACCAGAAGGCGGCGCUUCAUCUUGUCGUCUUGAGGGGCGCAGCCGGCCCGAUGUCUUGAAAGGUUUCGGGACUCGGGUAAGGCUACUCGUGGCCCAUUACUCCGACACUGACCAUAAUCCCCUACUCCUCUCCUCAGGAGACACGGGCAGGGAGGCGCAUAAACCUACGGAGUUUAGGUUUGGUCUGGCCUGGCUUAUAAAUCAUGAUUUUUUACCCUUAGUGGAGAAAAUCUGGAAGAAAGUGGUUAAAGCUGAAGAUCCUAUUGAUAUUCUUAAUAUCAAACUAAAAAGGUUUAAAACCUUCUUCAAAGGGUGGGGGUCCAACAAGUACGACCAUACCAAGAAGAGAAAAGAAGAAUUAAGAGUGGUACUGUCCACUCUUGAGGAGCUCGAAGAAGAGGGACCUCUGACCCCUGAGAUGUAUAGUAGAAAGGUGGAUAUUAAUUUUGAACUUCAUGAGAUUCUAGUGAAUGAGGAGAUUUUCUGGCUCCAACAAUCCCAUGAGCGUUGGCUGCUCAAAGGGUAUUUGAACACAUAUUAUUUUCAUAAAAUUGCAAAUGGGAGAAAAAGGAAGAAUACCAUUCAUGCCCUCAAAUGUGGUGAUAUCGAGAUAGAAGGAACUAAUAACCUUAUCUCACAUGCCACAGAGUUUUAUAAAACCCUUUUCAGCCCAGCCCCAGGCAACUUAUUUCACAUGGAUCCUAACUCGUGGGAUGAAUCGGAAAAACUUACUCAAGAGGAUAAUGUUGAUUUGACUAGAGCCUUUUCAUAA